AGCGCUCUUGUAAAGUCUCUUGUAAACAUUUUGCAAGUAAUACAAUUUUCCUCUUUCGGCUCAAUUGUUCUCUUUCAGAAACCUCCAGGCUUAACUAGUCGAGAAACUCAAAGGCUUACUUAGCAACUUGUGGAAAGAGUUGUCUAAAUACUGUAUGGGUUCGUUGCGCAAAGCACUCAUCCCGUGACUCAAGACUUCCUUUUGUCGAGAUUUCAUAUAAAAAGUUAGUAGCAAUUGGAUAAAUAAUAUUAGCCAGUGGUAACUAACUUUAAAUUAAUUCUCUUCUAUUUUCUUAAAUUUACUCCCAAAACAAACAAAAAACAUACUACUUUAUGAAAUUGUUUGAAAUAACUUUCAACUCCUACUUUAAAUUCUUUUUGUUUUGAUUGAUCACCCAAGGCCAAGUACUAAUGAAAAGGUUGAAAAUGGGAUGAAGGCAAUCAUAAGAGAAGUAAAUAAGUGUCAUGAUCUGACGUACAUUUUGAAACAAUCAGCAGAGUCCUCCAUUGCCAUUACAGACAAGCCACAAAAAUUCUACUGUUUACUGUCAUUUUCAAGCCAUAUUUAAAUUCGUUCAGUGUACAGUGCUUGUAUUUCUUUGAAUUUGUUUUCCUCAUCUACACCUCUAGCAAUGUAAAUCUUCAUUCGCUCAAAAAAAUUAUUGUUGGUAAAGCUUUUUAAUUUGAUUCCACCGGCAGUUUUUCCUUUUCGAACUUCUUUAAAUUGGACAAUAAAUUUUAUCUUUGGUUAAUCAUUGCAUAUCCG
rnacentral:lncRNA from 1 species